GACGAACGCUGGCGGCGUGCUUAACACAUGCAAGUCGAACGGAAAGGCCCUUCGGGGUACUCGAGUGGCGAACGGGUGAGUAACACGUGGGUGAUCUGCCCUGAACUUUGGGAUAAGCCUGGGAAACUGGGUCUAAUACCGAAUAGGACCACGCGCUUCAUGGUGUGUGGUGGAAAGCUUUUGCGGUGUGGGAUGGGCCCGCGGCCUAUCAGCUUGUUGGUGGGGUAAUGGCCUACCAAGGCGACGACGGGUAGCCGGCCUGAGAGGGUGACCGGCCACACUGGGACUGAGAUACGGCCCAGACUCCUACGGGAGGCAGCAGUGGGGAAUAUUGCACAAUAGGCGCAAGCCUGAUGCAGCGACGCCGCGUGAGGGAUGACGGCCUUCGGGUUGUAAACCUCUUUCAAUAGGGACGAAGCGCAAGUGACGGUACCUAUAGAAGAAGCACCGGCCAACUACGUG
rnacentral:rRNA from 1 species